rnacentral:rRNA from 1 species
CAGUCGCCGCGGGAAUACGAAGGGGGCUAGCGUUGUUCGGAUUUACUGGGCGUAAAGGGUGCGUAGGCGGACUGAUAAGUCAGGGGUGAAAUCCCAAGGCUCAACCUUGGAACUGCCUUUGAUACUGUUAGUCUUGAGUUCGAGAGAGGUGAGUGGAACUGCGAGUGUAGAGGUGAAAUUCGUAGAUAUUCGCAAGAACACCAGUGGCGAAGGCGGCUCACUGGCUCGAAACUGACGCUGAGGCACGAAAGCGUGGGGAGCAAACAGGAUUAGAUACCCCCGUAGUCCCUGUCUCUUAUAC